GCACCCGUAGUUCAAUUGGAUAGAAUUCAGGACUCCGACUCUUGCGGUUACCGGUUCGAAUCCGGUCGGGUGCA
rnacentral:tRNA from 2 species